UACGUAGGGGGCGAGCGUUAUCCGGAAUUACUGGGCGUAAAGCGCACGCAGGCGGUUCGCCACGUUUGGCGUGACAGUUGUCGGCUCAACCGACAAAGGACUUUAAAAACUGGUGAACUUGAGGACGAGAGAGGAACAUGGAACUCCAGGUGUAGUAGUGAAAUGCGUAGAUAUCUGGAAGAACACCAAUGGCGAAGGCAAUGUUCUGGCUCGUUUCUGACGCUCAGGUGCGAAAGCCAGGGGAGCGAACGGG
rnacentral:rRNA from 1 species